rfam:Prosthecochloris sp. CIB 2401, complete genome.
UUGAGCCCAGUGCUGCGAAAGUUGCAUGCUGGGGUCUUAGGGGACGGCGGUGUAGCGAUGCACCGCUGUUACCCGAC